rfam:Asian citrus Psyllid, Diaphorina citri - Florida Strain, whole genome shotgun sequence.
GCCAGUGGCGACAGCGCGAUAAAAGCACCAGUUGCCCAUGGAUCACUUUAGGUGAGCAACGUUGUGCGCGGUUCGUAUCCAGAUGGGUGACCACUGACCAUUUGGGCAAUCGCGUGCUGUAGGCU